rnacentral:rRNA from 1 species
CGGAGGGGCUAGCGUUGUUCGGAAUUACUGGGGCGUAAAGCGCACGUAGGCGGACCGGAAAGUUGGGGGUGGAAAUACCCGGGGCCGUCAACCUCGGAACUGCCUUCAAAACUAACUGGUCUUGUAGUUCGAGAGAGGUGAGUGGAAUUCCGAGUGUAGAGGUGAAAUUCGUAGAUAUUCGGAGGAACACCAGUGGCGAAGGCGGCUCACUGGCUCGAUACUGACGCUGAGGUGCGAAAGCGUGGGGAGCAAACAGGAUU